CCAAUAGCGUAUAUUAAAGUUGUUGCAGUUAAAAAGCUCGUAGUUGAAUUUCGGGAUUGACACAUCGGUCGUGCCUUAAGGGGUAUGAACUGGUGUAGUCAAUUUCUCACCUUCUGGAGAACCGCGAUGCCCUUAAUUGGGUGUCGCGGGGAACCAGGACCUUUACUAUGAAAAAAUUAGAGUGUUUAAAGCAGGCAUUUUGCUUGAAUACAUUAGCAUGGAAUAAUAAAAUAGGACGGUAUGAUUCUAUUUUGUUGGUUUCUAGGAUCACCGUAAUUAUUAAUAGGGAUAGUUGGUGGCAUUAGUAUUCAAUUGUCAGAGGUGAAAUUCUUGGAUUUAUUGAAGACUAACUACUGCGAAAGCAUUUGCCAAGGAUGUUUUCAUUAAUCAAGAACGAAAGGUAGGGGAUCGAAGACGAUCAGAUACCGUCGUAGUCUUAACCAUAAACUAUGCCGACUAGGAAUCAGACGAUGUUAAUUUUUUAAUGACUCGUUUGGCACCUUACG
rnacentral:misc_RNA from 1 species